UACGGAAGGCAGCAGUGGGGAAUAUUGCACAAUGGGCGAAAGCCUGAUGCAGCUAUGCCGCGUGUAUGAAGAAGGCCUUAGGGUUGUAAAGUACUUUCAUCGGGGAGGAAAAACAAAACUAAUAAUUUUAUUUCUUGACGUUACCCGAAAAAGAAGCACCGGCUAACUCCGUGCCAGCAGCCGCGGUAAUACGGAGGGUGCUAGCGUUAAUCAGAAUUACUGGGCGUAAAGAGCACGUAGGUGGUUUUUUUAAGUCAGAUGUGAAAUCCCUGGGCUUAACCUAGGAACUGCAUUUUGAAACUGAAAUACUAGAGUAUCGUAGAGGGAGGUAGAAUUCUAGGUGUAGCGGUGAAAUGCGUAGAUAUCUGGAGGAAUACCUGUGGCGAAAGCGGCCUCCUAAACGAAUACUGACACUGAGGUGCGAAAGCGUGGGGAGCAAACGAGGGAUUAGACUACC
rnacentral:rRNA from 1 species